UGGAGGUGACUCACCCACGGAGGCAGGAAGCCCUUCCAGGCUUGUUGGAGUCUAGCUUUCAGGGACAGAUCAGCCUCAAGGCGCAGAGAUUCCAGCCUGUUUCUGCCCGGUGGGAGGGAGACGUUUGUGAGCUACAUCUCCCAGCUCCCUCUGCUCCCAGCUUUCCUCUCAGAAUUAGAUAACAGCAAAAAUAGAUAAGAGAAGUGAUUCAUUAAUUCAGCGAGUCCCGUGGCUGGCUUUCUCUUGUUGGCUGCCCAAGGUCACUCCGAAGGACUCCACACAGAUGCAACACCCCCAGGGUAUCACCAUGCACAGUGAGCAUGCUCCUCCCUCAACCUGCUGCUGUACCUCAGGCCUGCCCUUAGAAAAGUGGUCCUACAGGUGGCCAGAGUCCCUUCUCCUAACACCCAGUAUGGCAGUGAAAAGCAGACAUGUUUGGAGCACUGUUGGUUAGCACCAGGGGCAGCAGAUCCUCCUGAGUGCAGAUGACAAUGCUGAAUGAGGUAACCCGACUCAGAGAGGUGGCCAAGUCACAGAGCAAGGGAAGGAUGGAACCCACAUUGGAUUCCAGGUUUCUCUGCUGUCUUCAAGUAGUGGAAUCUUCUCCAUCCUUCUCUGGGGCUUCAGGACAAGCAUGCUAUGUUUGGAGAAUUUGAAGAUCACUACAGACUUUUCUUUGGACUCUCUAAUCAAAGAUAAGAAUGAAAAAAAAAUCUGUCAAGACUAGAAAGAUGGCUCAUUUUUUAAGAGCAUUGACCUGGGUUCAAUUCCCAGAACCCAAAUGAUGGCUCACAACCAUCUGUAACUUCAGUUCCAGGGGAUUCAGUGCCCUCUUCUGGGCUCUGAGGACACAAGGCAUGAAAGUGUAUGUAGACACAAAAUGCAGAUAAAGCACUCAUACACAUAGAAUAAAAAUAAACAAAUCUUUUAAAAGGUCAUUCUGUCCACUGGCAUUGCAAAGUUGGUAGAAUGCACAUCUUCAGGAUGAUCAAUGACAUAUUUCGAAUCCUUAAAAAUCAACUAUGUGGCUAGUAUGUCAUAUAUACAUAUAUGUAUAUAUACACACAUACAUAAUAUACAUAUAUAUGUACACACACACACACACAUAUAUAUAUAUAUAUAUAUAUAUAUAUAUAUAUAUAUAUAUGUCAGUAUUGCAGUGCUAGGGAUCAAACCCAUGACUGUGUGCAUAUAAGUCAAGUGCUCCACCAAUGGAGCUACAUCCUCAACCCCUAUUAGAUUAAUCAGUUUUGACACUUAGAACAGAAAGAGUACUGACUGACAUGGGCUACACACAAAGUAACCCAUGGCUGAUGGCUGUAUACAUGAGGAUACUGGUACUGCUAUCUUGAACCUUCUUUCUGCUUGGAUCAGUUGUUCAGUGAUCAAGCAUUCCUUUGAAGCUCUAUAUGUUAAAAGGAAAAAGGUGCAACAUUUCCAAUCCCUAACCAUAAUGUCCAUUUUGCUAAAAAGAGAUGUAAACUAUGAGCAGACUCUAACUGCAGCUGACAUAUCCUUCCUUUUGCAGCUCUGCCCAUAGGACAAUCUGCUGGCUAUUGUUUCACCAUUGGUGGGCAUAUACAUAUACAUAUGUAUACAUGUAAUGAAACUUUUAAUUUUUUAAAUAUUUAAUUCAUAGGAAGUUUCAAAGAUAGUAAAGGUGGAUCCCCAUGAACAAGCAAGCUCCUGCAACUAUUAUAUCUAAAAAAUUUUAUUUUAUAUUUAUUUAUUUGUGUGUGUGUGUGUGUGUGUGUGUGUGUGUGUGUGUGUGUGUGUGUGUCUGUGUGUGUGUGUCUGUGUUCAGUUGCCUGAGGAGGCCAAAAGAGGACUGUGGAUUUCCUGGAGUUGGAGUUACAAUUGGUUGUGAGCCCCUCAAAGUGGGUGCCAAACUUGGGUCCUCUGCAAAAGCAGCAAGCACUUAGCUGUUGAUACAUCUCUCCAGCCUCAGUGAGUACCUCUUAUGUAGUUUUUGCGCUCUCUUAAAACAGGGAUAUUACAUUAGUACAGGUGUGCCAAAUCCUCUAUCAUUUUAUCACAAAUAGACAUGUGCAGUGUCUUACAAAUAGACACACAUGACCACUAUGGCUGCUGGAACACAGAACACCACCACACCAGGAAGCUCACACCACACGCACCCCAUUGCACCCAGCUCCCUAACUCCUAGCAACCACUAGUUUUCUCCUCCUCUAUAAUUUGGUUAUUGCGAGA
rnacentral:lncRNA from 1 species